rnacentral:rRNA from 1 species
CUACGGGGUGCAGCAGUGGGGAAUACUGCACAAUGGACGAAAGUCUGAUGCAGCAACGCCGCGUGGAGGAUGACACAUUUCGGUGCGUAAACUCCUUUUAUAUAGGAAGAUAAUGACGGUACUAUAUGAAUAAGCGCCGGCUAACUCCGUGCCAGCAGCCGCGGUAAUACGGAGGGCGCAAGCGUUACUCGGAAUCACUGGGCGUAAAGAGCGUGUAGGCGGAUAGAUAAGUCAGGAGUGAAAUCCUAUGGCUCAACCAUAGAACUGCUCUUGAAACUGUCUAUCUAGAAUAUGGGAGAGGUAGAUGGAAUUUCUGGUGUAGGGGUAAAAUCCGUAGAGAUCAGAAGGAAUACCGAUUGCGAAGGCGAUCUACUGGAACAUUAUUGACGCUGAGACGCGAAAGCGUGGGGAGCAAACAGGAUUAGAUACCCUCGUAGUC